rnacentral:rRNA from 1 species
GUACGGGAGGCAGCAGUCGAGAAUUUUUCACAAUGGGCGCAAGCCUGAUGGAGCGACGCCGCGUGGGGGAUGAAGGGUUUCGAUCCGUAAACCCCUGUCAUUUGCGAACAAACCUUAAGGGAUAACACCCCUUGAGCUGAUUGUAGCGGAAGAGGAAGGGACGGCUAACUCUGUGCCAGCAGCCGCGGUAAUACAGAGGUCCCAAGCGUUGUUCGGAUUCACUGGGCGUAAAGGGUGCGUAGGUGGCCGGGUAAGUUCGAUGUGAAAGCUCGGAGCUCAACUCCGAAAAGUCAUUGAAUACUAUCCGGCUUGAGGGUCGGAGGGGAGACUGGAAUUCUCGGUGUAGCAGUGAAAUGCGUAGAUAUCGAGAGGAACACCAGUGGCGAAGGCGAGUCUCUGGACGACUCCUGACACUGAGGCACGAAAGCUAGGGGAGCAAACAGGAUUAGAUACCCCAGUAGUCC